rnacentral:tRNA from 1 species
GGGCUGAUAGAUCAACUCGGUAGAUCGCCUGCCUUGCACGCAGGAGGCUAGGGGUUCAAAUCCCCUUCAGUCCA